AGGAUGAACGCUGGCGGCGUGCCUAACACAUGCAAGUCGAACGUCCUGUCUCGCAAGAGGCAGGGAGUGGCGGACGGGUGAGUACCACGUGGGUCAUCUACCGUGAGGUGAGGAAUACCGGCGAGAAAUCGCCGACAAGACCGCAUAGGCUCGAUGCAAGUCGAGCAAAGCUCUUUCGAGAGAGGGAGCGCCACACGAGGAGCCUGCGCCCGAUUAGCUAGCUGGUGGAGUAACGGUUCACCAGGGCGACGAUCGGUAGCUGGUCUGAGAGGACGAUCAGCCACACUGGGAUUGAGAACGGCCCAGACUCCUACGGGGGGCAGCAGUGAGGAAUUUUCGUCAAUGGGGGCAACCCUGAACGAGCAACGCCGCGUGCAGGAAGAAGGUUUUCGGAUCGUAAACUGCUUUUCUCGGGGAAGAGAAUGGACGGUACCCGAGGAAUCAGCCCGGCUAACUACGUGCCAGCAGCCGCGGUU
rnacentral:rRNA from 1 species